rnacentral:rRNA from 1 species
AACCAAGAUGGCUAAGUUAUAUAUUUUAUGGUAAAAAGAUAGUUAAAUGGUUUUAUAACAGCAUAUUAAAUAUUUAUAAAGAGGUAAAAUUCGUAUAUUAAUAUAUAAUUUAAUUUUUGCUUAAUUAUUGAAGCUAUUACAACCUUGAGGGAAACUGGGAUUAGAUACCCCACUAUUCUAGGAGAUAAAUUAAUUAGAAUUUACCAGAGUACUAUGAAUUAAAAUAAAAAGUUUAAAACUCAAAGGGCUUGGCGGUGUUUUAGACCUCUCAGGGGAACCUGUCUCAUAAUCGACAAUCCACGUUAUACCUAACCUUUUUUUGCUUUCAGCUUGUAUACCGUCGUCGUCAGGUAACUUUUAAAAAAUUAGAAGUUAGCAAGAAAAUUAUAUAUAAAUGUAUAUUUUAACGUCAGAUCAAGGUGCAGUUUAUAAAUAGGUGAGGAUGGGUUACAAUUGUAUAAUUACAACUACGAAAUAAUUAUUUGAAUUAAUAUUUAUGAAGGAGGACUUGAAAGUAACUAAUAUUAUAUAAAUAUGUUGAAUAAGGCUCUGAAAUGUGC